GGGGGGGAGAAGGGGGCGGGGAGGGAGGAGGGCUACGGGGCGGGGCCGGUUUUCCCGCAGGCCCUGGCUCCGCCCACUGUCAACGCUCGAUGGGCCCGCGGUCCCAGCCCCGCCGCGCGCCCGGCGGAGAGGUCCCACCUGGAGCAUUCGGUAUCCUCCCAGGUCUCGAGGCUUGCACCACAAAUGUGCCUCCCGAAUUAGGCAGGAACGGAGUGGUGGCGCUGGUGGCAGUGAGGGGCCAAAGGCUGGGAUUUGCCUAUUCUGGACAUUUCGUGUGAGUGGAACUGUACACUGUGGGGCCCCUUAUGACUGGCUUCUUUCACGCAGAGGAAUGUUCUCAAAGGCCUUCCGUGUUGCGGCACUGAUGUGCAAAAUGAAGACCUUCAAGAUGAAAUCAUCCUGGGGUAUGCUGAUGGGCCCUAAAUCAGACGGGUUUCCAGGAGAGACACGGGGAAGAGGAAAAGCCACGUGCGGACCAGGGCAGAGACUGAAGUGAUGCAGCCAUUAAUCAGGGAGCAGCUGGAGCCUCCAGAAGUCGAUGGGGAGCUGGAAGGACCCCGCCUACA